rnacentral:rRNA from 1 species
UUUGAAACUUGUCCACUCCUUACGGGGGAGACAGUCAUGAGACGUGAGUAUAAGACCUGAGUGUAAAGACCUUAGGGUGAAGCAAUUGGAGGGCAAGCUUUGGUGCCAGCAGCCGCGGUAACUCCAACUCCAAGAGUGUCUAUGGUGGAUGCUGCAGUUAAAGGGUCCGUAGUCGUGAAUGCAAUUAAAUGUCGUUGUUCAAUAGCGAUGAGUUUGCUAAUGUUUGCGGAACGGAUAGGGAGUGUAGUAUAGACUGGCGAAGAAUGAAAUCUCAAGACCCAGUUUGGACUAACGGAGGCGAAGGCGACACUCUUAGACGUAUCUUAGGAUCAAGGACGAAGGCAGGAGUAUCGAAAGUGAUUAGACACCGCUGUAGUUCCUGCAGUAAACUAUGCCGACAGCCUGUGUGUGAGAAUACGUGGGCGGGAGAAAUCUUAGUGUUCGGGCUCUGGGGAUAGUACGCUCGCAAGGGUGAAACUUAAAGCGAAAUUGACGGAAGGACACUACCAGGAGUGGAUUGUGCUGCUUAAUUUAACUCAACGCGGGAAAACUUACCAGGGUCAAGUCAUUCGUUGAUCGAAUACGUGA